rnacentral:rRNA from 1 species
AUGCGAAAGUUACGCAUAACUACCGNAUACGAUCCUAANGAUGAAAGUGGCGGGAUCGCANGACCUCAUGCUCNUGGAGCGGCCGAUAUCUGAUUACCAUAGUUGGUAGGGUAAAAGCCUACCAAGGUANUCGAUCAGUAGCUGGUCUGAGAGGACGACCAGCCACACUGGAACUGAGACACGGUCCAGACUCCUACGGGAGGCAGCAGUGGGGAAUUUUGGACAAUGGGCGAAAGCCUGAUCCAGCAAUGCCGCGUGAGUGAAGAAGGCCUUCGGGUUGUAAAGCUCUUUUGUCAGGGAAGAAACGGUGANAGCUAAUAUCUUUUGCUAAUGACGGUACCUGAAGAAUAAGCACCGGCUAACUACGUGCCAGCAGCCGCGGUAAUACGUAGGGUGCAAGCGUUAAUCGGAAUUACUGGGCGUAAAGCGUGCGCAGGCGGUUUUGUAAGUCUGAUGUGAAAUCCCCGGGCUCAACCUGGGAAUUGCAUUGGAGACUGCAAGGCUAGAAUCUGGCAGAGGGGGGUAGAAUUCCACGUGUAGCAGUGAAAUGCGUAGAUAUGUGGAGGAACACCGAUGGCGAAGGCAGCCCCCUGGGUCAAGAUUGACGCUCAUGCACGAAAGCGUGGGGAGCAAACAGGAUUAGAUACCCUGGUAGUCCACGCCCUAAACGAUGUCUACUANUUGUCNGGGUCUAAUUGACUUGGUAACGCAGCUAACGCGUGAAGUA